UUAAUUAUUAAUAAUCUUAUAUAUUUAUAUUAAUAUUGAUAUGGACGUGUUAUAUGAAAUGUCACACUAGAGACCAAAAUAAAUAUUCUAAUCCAAAUAUUAAUGUGAUGAAAAUGAGUCAUAUUUAAACAAGAAAGAAACAAGUUUCACUUUCUAACUUUAUUUUGACAAUUGUAUACACAUCUUAGAGCUCUUUUUCAUAUUAAAAUAAUACAACUCCAAUAAAAUAGUACACACCUCACUUCUUAGUGAGUUAUAUAUAUGAGUUACAUGCAUUCAUGUAACGAAAAAACAAAAUAGCUUUUCUUUGUUUCACUUUGAAUAAUGUCAAUGUUGAUAUUUUUUGAUUGGUCAGAAAAAUUUGAUCUUGGUCCCGUUUGGAACCAAAGAGGUGAUCAAUCAACAUGUUGGGCGGUUUCUGUAGCGGCAAUGACAUAUAUCUUUGAUAGAAUAAGUGGUAGGCACAAUGGACGACACUUUAAAUAUUCCCCCCACCUAGCUAUAGAUCAUUUUGUUAGACUUAAGCGCAUUAAUCCUCGUACUGAUAACUACUUUGUAAUAGAAUUUGCAAAGUUCUUUGCUGAACAUGAGUUUAUUAGUGUUCAAAAUUAUCCUUAUAUUGACUUUCCGACUCUUAAAUACUUGAAGGAUAUAGAGGAAAUAAACUAUGUAAGUUUUACGUUUUAUUUUAUUUAUGUAUGUUUUUAUAGAUUUGAUUAAGUAUUUUGAUUUUUUUUUAAAUUGUAAGAGCUGCUACCGACUCUUUUUGUUAAUCCGUCGUAUUAUGAAAUUGCUACGUUCGUUUCAUACAUAUUGUGAUGGGAUAUUAAAUCUGAUUCAGAAUCGGCCCGUUAUCAUUAAUUACAAUAGCAGGAUGCUUAAAAUAUAUGAUGGAAGUGGAAUGUAUAAGACAUUGGCUAGGUCCAAGGCUCAUACUUGUCGAUACUCUGCGAUAGCGUAUGGAUUUAGAUGGGUUGGGGAAGAAAAUCAUUAUGUUUUGAAAGUUAGAAAUUCUUAUAACUUGUAAGCUCAUGAUGAGAGGCAUUUUGUUUAAUACUACUUUUGCUCGGGUUGCACUUCUUGAUGUAGUUCACUUCCAACCAAGAGUUAUGCAAGGUCUCACUUCAAUUGUUAGUCAGCUUGAGGUGGCAUAGCUCUUUACCUCUUUCUGCUAUCAUUGUCUUGUUGUUUUGGAUUGUUAUUUCUGGUUUUUGUUUGUAUUUUUUCAAGUGUUGGUUUUCUUUGUUUGUUGUAGUUUCUGGUUCCUGCUGCUUGUUUAUCCAGGUUCGGUCGAUGGGUCUGUCUGCGUUAACAGCCCAUUCUUGGUUCUGGUCGUUUGUUAGUUUAUCUUGUAAGGUUGUUGCCGUCUAUUAUUUUAUUAUGGUGUGGUAGCCCCUGUUUUGGAAGCUCCUAUUAUAUUGUUUUUGUUUUUUCGUUAAUCAAUAAAAUCUUGUGUCACUUUGCUUUAAGCAGGCUUGUUGUCAUUUUGGUAAUGUUUUUGAUAUGAUACUAUAUUAUGCUUUUGAAUCUAUAAAAAACAAAAGUAUAAUAUAGUAUCAUAUAAAAAACAACAUCACCAAAAUGACAACAACCCUGCUUAAAGCAAAGCGAUACAAAGUUUCAUUGAUUAACGAAAAAACAAAAACAAUAUAAUAGGUUUUCCCAAAACAGGGGCUACCACACCACAACAAAGAUACAUAACAAAACAAUAGACGGCAACAACCAUACAAGAUAAACUAACAAACAGCCAGGACCAAGAAUGGGCUGCUAACGCAGAGAGACCCAUCGACCGAACCUGGAUAAACAAGCAGCAAGAACCGGGGAACACAACAAAGGAAACCAGCACUUGAAAAAAUACAAACAAAGAACAGAAAUAACAAUCCAAAAUGACAGGACAAUGAUAGCAGAAAGAGGUAAAGAGCUAUGCCACCUUAGGCUGACUAACACCUGAAGCGAGACCUUGCAUAACUCUUGCUGGAAGUGAACUACAUCAAGAAGUGCAAAACCGAGCAAAAGUAGUAUUAAACAAAACUUCAAAAUGUCCCCCAUCAUGAGCUUGCAAGUUGUAAGAAUUUCUAACCUUCAAAACAUAAUGGUUUUCUUCCUCAACCCAUCUAAAUCCAUACGCUAUCGCAGAGUGUCAACAAGUACGACCCUUGGACCUCACCAAUGUCCUAUAUAUUCCACUUCCAUCAUAUAUUUUAAGCAUCCAGCUAUUGUAAUUAAUGAUAACAGGCCGAUUCUGAAUCAGAUUUAAUAUUCCAUUACGAUAUGUAUGAAACGAACGUGGCGAUUUCUCAUAAUACGACGGAUUGACAAAAUGAGUCGGUAGCACCUCAUACAAUUUAAAAAAAAUCAAAAUACUUAAUCAAAUCUAUAAAAACAUAUACAAAUAAAAUGUAAAACUUACAUAGCUUAUUUCCUCUAUAUCCUUCAAGUGUUUAGGAGUGGGAAAGCCAAUAUAAGAAUAAUUUUGAAUACUAAUAAACCCAUGUUCAACAAAGAACUUUGCAGCUUCUAUUACAAAGUAGUUAUCAUUACGAGGAUUAAUGCGCUUAAGUCUAACAAAAUGAUCUAUAGCAGACUGAGUGGAAUAUUUAAAGUGUGGUCCAUUAAGCCCACCACUUAUUCCAUCAAAGAUAUAUGCCAUUGCCGUUAUAGAAACCGCCCAGCAUGUUGAUUGAUCACCUCUUUGGUUCCAAAUUGGACCAAGAUCAAAUGUUUCUGACUAAUCAAAAGAUGUUAGCCUUGACAUUAUUCACUGCGAAACAAAGAAAAGCUAUUUUGUUUUUUUCGUUACAUGAAUGCAUGUGACCCAUAUAUAUAACUCACUAAGAAGUGAUGUGUGUACUAUUUUAUUGGAGUUGUACUAUUUUAAUAUGAAAAAGAGCUCUAAAAUGUGUGUACAAUUGUCAAAAUAAAGUUAGAAAGUGAAACUUGUUCUUUCUUGUUUAAAUAUGACUCAUUUUCAUCGCAUUAAUAUUUGGAUCAUGAUAUUUAUUUUGGUAUCUAGUGUGACAUUUUAUAUAGCACGUCCAUGUCAAUAUUAAUAUAUAUAUGAUUAUUAAUAAUCCAUAAACACAAAUAUAUAAAAUAUUAUUUUGGAUAUUCAAAUGAAUUGAACUGAUCAUAACCUGUCUUUAACAUCUUGCAAAAGAAAAUUUAUUGGGAACUAAACUCAUUCAUAGCAUGCCCAUCUAACAAUAUCACCCACCCAAUAAAUAUAUAUUUAUAUUAUAUAUAGAUCCAUAAAUUUGCUAAUUUAGGGUUUUAUAGUUGGUUAUGUUUUACUUAGACUUUUUUGUUUAUUUUUAAAUAACUAGGAAAUUAAAUACCGUUUCAAAAUUUGAACUAAACCAAACAAUUUAUUAAACAUUAAAAAAAAUAUUAUUUAAAAAUUAAAUAAAUCAAAAUGUUAAUAAAUAACAAAUAAAACAGAAGAAAAGAAUGACAACAAGAAGGUUUCAGCCAGAGUCUUUGCCUUGACCUAAGGAGAAGCCGAAGCUAGUAACAAGGUGGUCACAAAUGGUGCAGAAAAAUGAGCAUGGAAGGCGGGACAGAUUCAUGGCAGUUUUGGCAUGUGUAUUGGGCGAAAACUGAAUGAAUGGACUGAUGGGAAAGAGCGAGGAUGACGUUUUGUUUCAAGUCUUUUCAAUUAUGUAUUUAUGUUUUUCCGCAUUUAGUAUUUGAACAAUUAAUUAAAGGUUUUUUUUGUUUACUUUAUGAUUUUAUGUAAUAACAAUGAGAUCCUGUAUUUUGGAUUUUCUAAUAAAGUUCUAUUAUUUUAUGUA